rnacentral:rRNA from 1 species
UACGAAGGGGGCUAGCGUUGCUCGGAAUCACUGGGCGUGAAGGGUGCGUAGGCGGGUCUUUAAGUCAGGGGUGAAAUCCUGGAGCUCAACUCCAGAACUGCCUUUGAUACUGAAGAUCUUGAGUGCGGGAGAGGUGAGUGGAACUGCGAGUGUAGAGGUGAAAUUCGUAGAUAUUCGCAAGAACACCAGUGGCGAAGGCGGCUCACUGGCCCGAUACUGACGCUGAGGCACGAAAGCGUGGGGAGCAAACAGG